CCUACGGGAGGCAGCAGUGGGGAAUAUUGCACAAUGGGGGAAACCCUGAUGCAGCGACGCCGCGUGAGUGAAGAAGUAUCUCGGUACGUAAAGCUCUAUCAGCAGGGAAGAAAAUGACGGUACUUGACUACGAAGCCCCGGCUAACUACGUGCCAGCAGCCGCGGUAAUACGUCGGGGGCAAACGUUAUCCGGAUUUACUGGGGGUAAAGGGGGCGUAGGGGGCAGCACCAGUCUGGAGUUAAAUUCCGGGGCCUAACGCCGGAACCGCUUUGGAAACUGGGCGGCUGGAGUGCAGGAGGGGUAAGCGGAAUGCGUGGUGUAGCGGUGAAAUGCGUAGAUAUCAGGAAGAACACCGGUGGCGAAGGCGGCUUACUGGACUGUAACUGACGUUGAGGCACGAAAGCGUGGGGAUCGAACAGGAUUAGAUACCCGUGUAGUC
rnacentral:rRNA from 1 species